GGAGGAGAGAGAAGGGGGUGGAGAGAGAGGAGAAAGAGGAGGAGAGAGAAGGGGGGUGGAGAGAGAGGAGAAAGAGGAGAAGAGAGGAGAGAGGGGAGAAAGAUUAGGAGAGAGGGGAGAAAGAGGAGGAGAGAGCGAGUCUCCAGGCAGUUUUUAUUUUUUUAUUUUUUUUAUUUCACCUUUAUUUAACCAGGUAGGCAAGUUGAGAACAAGUUCUCAUUUACAACUGCGACCUGGCCAAGAUAAAGCAAAGCAGUGCGACACAUACAACGACACAGAGUUACACAUGGAGUAAAACAAACAUACAGUCAAUAAUACAGUAGAAAAAUAAGUCUAUAUACAAUGUGAGCAAAUGAGGUAAGAUAAGGGAGGUAAAGGCAAAAAAAGGCCAUGGUGGCAAAGUAAAUACAAUAUAGCAAGUAAAACACUGGAAUGGUUGAUUUGCAGUGGAAGAAUGUGCAAAGUAGAGAUAGAAAUAAUGGGGUGCUUUUUGGAGCAAAAUAAAUACAGUAGGGGGAGAGGUAGUUGUUUGGGCUAAAUUAUAGGUGGGCUAUGUACAGGUGCAGUAAUCUGUGAGCUGCUCUGACAGCUGGUACUUAAAGCUACUGAGGGAGAUAAGUGUUUCCAGUUUCAGAGAUUUUUGUAUUUCGUUCCAGUCAUUGGCAGCAGAGAACUGGAAGGAGAGGCGGCCAAAGGAAUAAUUGGUUUUGGGGGUGACCAGAGAGAUAUACCUGCUGGAGCGUGUGCUACAGGUGGGUUCUGCUAUGGUGACCAGCGAGCUGAGAUAAGGGGGGACUUUACUUAGCAGGGUCUUGUAGAUGACCUGGAGCCAGUGGGUUUGGCGACGAGUAUGAAGCGAGGGCCAGCCAACGAGAGCGUACAGGUCGCAAUGGUGGGUAGUAUAUGGGGCUUUGGUGACAAAACGGAUGGCACUGUGAUAGACUAAAUCCAAUUUAUUGAGUAGGGUAUUGGAGGCUAUUUUGUAAAUGACAUCGCCGAAGUCGAGGAUCGGUAGGAUGGACAGUUUUACAAGGGUAUGUUUGGCAGCAUGAGUGAAGGAUGCUUUUUUGUGAAAUAGGAAGCCAAUUCUAGAUUUAACUUUGGAUUGGAGAUGUUUGAUGUGAGUCUGGAAAGAGAGUUUACAGUCUAAGCAGUAAGGGUCACCACAUCCGAAAACAGAGUGAAAAGAGAGAGAGAGAAACAGGGAUAUAAGUGAGAGAGAAACAGGGAUAUAAGUGAGAGAGAAAAACAGGGAUAUAAGAGAGAAACAGGGAUAUAAGUGAGAAACAGGGAUUUAAGUGAGAGAGAAACAGGGAUAUAAGUGAGAGAGAAACAGGGAUAUAAGUGAGAGAGAAACAGGGAUAUAAGUGAGAGAGAAACAGGGAUAUAAGUGAGAGAGAGAAACAGGGAUUUAAGUGAGAGAGAAACAGGGAUAUAAGUGAGAGAGAGAAACAGGGAUAUAAGUGAGAGAGAAAAACAGGGAUAUAAGAGAGAAACAGGGAUAUAAGUGAGUGAGAAACAGGGAUAUAAGUGAGAGAGAGGAACAGGGAUUUAAGUGAGAGAGAAAAACAGGGAUAUAAGUGAGAGAGAUACAGGGAUUUAAGUGAGAGAGAGAAACAGGGAUUUAAGUGAGAGAGAGAAACAGGGAUAUAAGUGAGAGAGGGAUAUAAGGAUUUAAGUGAGAGAGAGAAACAGGGAUUUAAGUGAGAGAGAGAAACAGGGAUAUAAGUGAGAGAGAGAAACAGGGAUAUAAGUGAGAGAGAGAAACAGGGAUUUAAGUGAGAGAGAGAAACAGGGAUAUAAGUGAGAGAGAGAAACAGGGAUUUAAGUGAGAGAGAGAAACAGGGAUUUAAGUGAGAGAGAGAAACAGGGAUUUAAGUGAGAGAGAGAAACAGGGAGAAAGAGAAGAAACUUGGUCAUAACAAACAUGGACAUUGUUCUAUUGACACACUGUGUGCAACUCAAGACGUGAUUUUUGUAUUCUAUUUUUUUAUGCACUUACUUUCAAGUGAAACUCAGUCAUCUUGUUGUUCAUUGAGCUGAGAGAAGGCUGAGAGGGCGGUGUUGUGUUCCUUUGUCUCUGCUCUGCUAUUCUACUUCCUUUCUUUUGGUCCUUUUUUAAUGUUUUUUUUCUUCUUUUACCUCACACUUGGCAGCUUGUGGUUUAAUGUUUUUUAAAGGUGUCCUUCCACUUACAGUUUCCUACCUACACCUUCAAAAUGGACAGUUCAUUUCCGCCAUUUUGGGUCCAAACAACUCAGUUGGCAAUUAUUUGAAUGUUGUUUGUUUUCAUUCUCAGUAACCUUAACAACAGAUGCCCUGUUGUGCUAUUCUGACUGACAGGUCAGCUUUUUAUGAUGUUAUUCAGUUGGUCUGUUGGUAGUCAAGUUUGACAUGCUUUCUGGUUUGGACCACAUCCACACACACAGGCUCGCGCAUGGACACACACACACGCAGACAUACACACUGUGGCCUCUGUUUUGGGCUGUGGACUGGACUGGGGACGAUUAUGGUGGCUGUGUCUUUGUCAGUUAAACUGCCUGUCUGACUAGCUACUUUGUCUAGUGUACUCUCUAUCCUCUCUAUACACACACACACACACACAUUCGCGCACACACGCGCACACACACACAUUCGCACACACACACACACACACACACACAGACUGUCCUCUCUAUCCUCUGUUAGGCCUUGAAGGCUCUCCAUUGUACACAGAAGCCAUUUCUCUGUCACUCUCUGCCUGAGUCUCAACCACUCUGAACCAGUCUGGGUCUUUCUGGGCCCAGAAGCAAGGAGAUGGAUCUAUAUAGACAUACUGUACACCACACAUGCCCACGAACCCAUACACACCCACACACAGAAAUACACACACACACACACACACACACACACACACACACCUUUCUUUGUUUUUUCCCUGUCUUCUAUUUAUAUUAUGUCCUUUCUUUUCCUUCCUUCCUUCCUUCCUUCCUUCCUUCCUUCCUUCCUUCCUUCCUUCCUUACUUACUUCCUUUCUCUUUGCAUAAGAUGGUCAAAGAUGUCAAAUAAUAAAAUAGAUGUUUCUGUUUUUUCGCUGAAUUACAGAUCAGAUGGUUGGUUUCUGUCUGUGAAUCAAUGAAACACUUUAUUCAGGUUACUGGGGGAUGUGGUUUGUUUUGUAUGGCUGUUACAGUAAUACUGUGUUUGUUUGUUUUGGUGAUGGUAUAGAAGUUAGCGAUGGCUAGGCUAAUUUGGCUAGAUGUGUACAGGGAGAUGGAUUAAGGCAGGGAUUCAAUCAGAAACCACGCUGUAGUACGAUGGACAUUUAAAAGUCAUUUCUGAUUGAGCCGACGACUGGAAUGCUGCCUUUACAGUAACAUUGCCUUUAAAACGUUAAGAGCUGCAUUGUCUACUAGCAUGAUGGGAUGGAAUCCCCUGUCACCUGCUUUACAGCCAUGCUGUGCUGUGCUGUCACACAGGACCCACUAGGUGGCGUACGCUCCCUCUGUGAACAGAAGCUCUAGUGAGAGACACACACACACACACACACACACACACACACACAUAGAGACAGACAGGGAAUACUUUCUUUACAGAAGCUCAAUUGUUGUCCCAUCAACUGCUUGUCUAAUCCCCACUGACUGGUUUAGAAAGAGGGAGGGAUGUUGCCUAUACAAACACACACACACACACAAUCACAAGUGUAUGUGCACACACACACAACACACUUGAUCUGUCCAGUUCCGUCCAUCUUGCCCUUGAGAGAGUCAAGGCCAAACCCUACUGGGGGACAAGAGAUAGGGGUGGAGCCACACACACUCUCUCACACACACUGUUCCGCCACCCUGGCACCAGACCGCCAUGCUGAUGCCACCCGAUCCCUACUGGGUCCCAGGAGGACGUGUGUGUGUGUGUGUGUGUGUGUGUGUGUGUGUGUGUGUGUGUGUGUGUGUGUGUGUGUGUGUGUGUGUGUGUGUGUGUGUGUGUGUGUGUGUGUGUGUGUGUGUGUGUGUGUGUGUGUGUGUGUGUGUGUGUGCAACCAGCCCCUCUCCAGUGUCUGUAGGAAAUUAACCCACUGGGGUGCAUUGCCAGAUUCGACUAAUCACACACAUCCCGUCUGGGUUGUCAGAUUUCAGGCUUUUAUCUUUGCUGGUCUGCCUUUUCUGUCUUUUAAUAUAAGGUCACCGAUUGGCUGUAACUACUCUGUGGUGGGACAAGGUGCUUCUGAUUGGCUGUAACUACUCUGUGGUGGGACAAGGUGCUUCUGAUUGGCUGUAACUACUCUGUGGUGGGACAAGGUGCUUCUGAUUGGCUGUAACUACUCUGUGGUGGGACAAGGUGCUUCUGAUUGGCUGUAACUACUCUGUGGUGGGACAAGGUGCUUCUGAUUGGCUGUAACUACUCU
ensembl:lncRNA